GUCUUGCAGAGCGCUAUGACAUGGAUGGGGCCAAAGGCAAGCGACUAGAGCUAAAAAUACAUCUGAUGAGAAAGGGACUUCUUUGCUGGCUUUGGAACUAUCUUCCAAAUGAAGGGGCAAACAGACUCAUCAAUUCACCCUUUUACCCAGCUAUCAGUGGGGAAGAUAGAUAAAGUUGUUAUAAGGCAGAAAACAACAAGCUUCUAUCCUCUUUUCUUGCCCUUUUGGAUUUAUUGAAGGUGCACAGACAUUAUCCAAGUUGACUUCUUGCAACCGUACUCAAAAGGCAAAAUGUUUUGGUGGAAAAUUAAAAAAGAAACCAACUCUUGAUUUAUUACAUUUAUAUCCUACCUUUCCCACCUCCUCCUCACUUUAGACCAGGCAUGGGCAAACUUCAGCCCUCUGGGUGUUUUGGACUUCAACUCCCACAAUUCCUAACAGCCUCAGGCCCU
rnacentral:lncRNA from 11 species